rnacentral:rRNA from 1 species
UACGUAGGGGGCAAGCGUUGUCCGGAAUCAUUGGGCGUAAAGCGCGUGUAGGCGGCCCGGUAAGUCCGCUGUGAAAGUCGGGGGCUCAACCCUCGGAUGCCGGUGGAUACUGUCGGGCUCGAGUACGGAAGAGGCGAGUGGAAUUCCCGGUGUAGCGGUGAAAUGCGCAGAUAUCGGGAGGAACACCAAUGGCGAAGGCAGCUCGCUGGGACGGUACUGACGCUGAGGCGCGAAAGCGUGGGGAGCAAACAGG